UACAGGGGGUGCAAACGUUGCUCGGAAUCAUUGGGCGUAAAGCGCACGUAGGCGGUUCGUUAUGUCGGAUGUGAAAGCCCUUGGCUUAACCGAGGAAGUGCAUCCGAAACUGGCGAGCUAGAGUACGAAAGAGGAUCGCGGAAUUCCCGGUGUAGAGGUGAAAUUCGUAGAUAUCGGGAGGAACACCGGUGGCGAAGGCGGCGAUCUGGGUCGAUACUGACGCUGAGGUGCGAAAGCGUGGGGGAGCAACAGG
rnacentral:rRNA from 1 species